rnacentral:rRNA from 1 species
GCAGCAGCCGCGGGAAUACGAAGGGUGCAAGCGUUACUCGGAAUUACUGGGCGUAAAGCGUGCGUAGGUGGUGGUUUAAGUCCGUUGUGAAAGCCCUGGGCUCAACCUGGGAAUUGCAGUGGAUACUGGGUCACUAGAGUGUGGUAGAGGAUAGUGGAAUUUCCGGUGUAGCAGUGAAAUGCGUAGAGAUCGGAAGGAACAUCUGUGGCGAAGGCGACUAUCUGGGCCAACACUGACACUGAGGCACGAAAGCGUGGGGAGCAAACAGGAUUAGAUACCCCUGUAGUCCCUGUCUCUUAUAC